AUGGCCAGCUCGUCAGCGUUGGAGUUCACCGUGAGGAGGAAACUUGCGGUGCUUGUGCCGCCCGCGGCCCCUACGCCGCGGGAGCUGAAGAGGCUCUCCGACAUCGACGACCAGGACGGGCUUCGCUUUCAGGUCCCCAUCAUCCACUUCUUUCGGCAGCAUGACGGCCGGGACGACGACCCUGCGCCUGUACUACGCGGCGCCAUAGCGGCGGUGCUCGUGCACUACUACCCGUUCGCGGGGCGGCUGAGGGAGCUCGAGGGCCGCAAGCUCGCCGUCGACUGCACCGGCGAGGGCGUGCUGUUCGUCGAGGCUGAUGCCGACGUCUGCCUCGACCAGUUUGAUGCGGCCCUGGGGCCGCCCUUCCCGUGCCUCGACGAGCUCCUAUUCGACGUCCCCGGCUCCUGCGGUAUCCUCGACUGCCCGCUCCUCCUUUUUCAGGUGACACGGCUCGCUUGCGGAGGCUUCGUCAUGGCUGUGAGGGUACAGCACACGAUGGCAGAUGCGGCGGGGAUGGUGCAGCUCCUGGGUGCUAUCGCGGAGCUGGCUCGGGGUGCGCCGGCGCCAACAGUGCAGCCGGUGUGGGGGCGCGAGCUGCUGCAGGCGCCGCUGCUGAACGAUGUACUACUCCCACCGCGCUUUGCGCACCGUGAGUACGAUGAUGUGAUGGACAUGAAUGACGCCAUCGUGCCCUUUGAAUUCAUGGUGCACCACUCCUUCUUCAUUGGAUGGGGGGAGAUCUCUGCCAUCCGAUCCCACCUCCCGUCGGCUCUCAGCCGCGAAGCUACCAACUUCGAGGUCAUCACGGGGUGCCUGUGGAGGUGCCGCACGACAGCUCUGGCCCCCCAUGCCGACGAGGAAAUGAGGAUGAUCUGUACCGUCAACAUCCGUGGCAAAAAAGACACUAUCAUCCCCGUCGGCUACUAUGGCAACGCCUUCGCUUCCCCGGUCGCCAUUUCCACGGCCGGUGACUUGCUCGCCAACCCUGUGAGCUAUGCCGUGGAGCUGGUGAUGAAGGCGAAGCGGGAGGUGGAUGUGGAGUACAUCCUCUCCGUGGCAGCGCUCAUGGCACAACGCGGGCGGCCACACUUUGCGGUGGCACACACCUACCUCGUGUCGGACGUGAGCAAGGUUGGAAUCCGCGACCUUGACUUCGGCUGGGGCAAGCCGGUGUAUGCCGGUCCGGCGAAGGGCGGAGUCGUCGACAUACCAGGCGUCGCCAGCUUCUUCAUUGCUGUAAGGAAUGCCAUGGGCGAGGAGGGUAUCUCAGUCCCCGUGUGCAUGCCUGGCCCCACCAUGGACAAGUUCGUUAACGAGAUGGGCAAGCUCAUGCGCCCGGCAUCGGCUGACACGUUUUCCAAGAUGUGA
rnacentral:rRNA from 1 species